CGUAAUCGGAAUGAGUACACUUUAAAUCCUUUAACAAGGAUCCAUUGGAGGGCAAGUCUGGUGCCAGCAGCCGCGGUAAUUCCAGCUCCAAUAGCGUAUAUUAAAGUUGUUGCGGUUAAAAAGCUCGUAGUUGGUUCUGCGUGCCGCGCUGUCGGUUCGCCGCCUGUCGGUGUAACUGGCAUGUCGCGGCAUGUCCUGUCGGUGGUGAGCGGAAUUCCCGGUAUUACCUAGGCUUCAUAGCCGAAGUAUGUGCCGCGCGUGAUUCCGUUUACCGAUUUCUCCUACUUCGGUGCUCUUAAACGAGUGUCGAGGUAGGCCGACACGUUCACUUUGAACAAAUUAGAGUGCUUAAAGCAGGCUGAAAUAUCUGCCUGAAUAGUGGUGCAUGGAAUGAUAAAACAGGACCUCGGUUCUAUUUUGUUGGUUUUAGGAAUAUGAGGUAAUGAUCAAUGUGGACUGGCGGGGGCAUUCGUAUUGCGACGUUAGAGGUGAAAUUCUUGGAUCGUCGCAAGACGCACUAAAGCGAAAGCAUUUGCCAAGUAUGUCUUAAUUGAUCAAGAACGAAAGUUAGAGGUUCGAAGGCGAUCAGAUACCGCCCUAGUUCUAACCAUAAACGAUGCCAGCCAGCGAUCCGCCGAUGUUCCUUUAAUGACUCGGCGGGGAGCUUCUACCCGGGAAACCAAAGCUUUUGGGUUCCGGGGGAAGUAUGGUUGCAAAGCUGAAACU
rnacentral:rRNA from 1 species